UGUUCAUUUUAUUUCAGCAGAGGCAAUCGCCACAAAAAUCAGGACAAACUAAUUUCUCAUGUAUGUGCCAAAGCAACGUCAGAACGUGGUGUGCAGAGCAGUUGGUAUGUCUGUUUGGGCUGCUCACUGGGGCCAUGAAGAUCAUGCUUUGGGCUGGGGGCAGGCACCUGUGACUGCAGGGCAGAGGAAGGAGCUGCCAGUAGCUGCCAGCAGUUCUGGUGUCAGACUCAUGCAAAGCAUGACUAAAACAAUGCCACUUCUGAAUACUAAAUUCCCCAAUUUCUUUCUUGCCCUAGUGAGAAGAGCUCUGCAGAUGUGGAGACAGGGACAAAAGCAGUCAGUAUUUCCUCUCUUUCUACAUGCUAGUCAGCCCUGUUCAUGGGGCACUAGCUCAUCUCUCUGGCUUCUGAACUGAGAAAAGAAGAUGCUCCUCUUCCAAAUGGAUUUGGCCUGAACUUUACACCAAAAUUCAGCUAAGAGAAGGAUUUCUGGAAGGCAAGUGACUUAUAGCAGGGGAUUGAGCAAAACAGCUUCUGGGCUGGAGGAAGCCCACGCCCUCCAUUUUGUCUUUAGCUCCAUAGUGGUGUUGGACAUGCUGUGCAUACAGCACUUUACCCUGGUUUAUGAGCAUGGGAUUAUGUCAACAGAACAACGAAAUAAGGAAAAAAAAAAAAAAAGUAGUAAGAGUAAAUUGGAAGGUCCUUGACAGCUUCCUGGAAAGAGAAUGAAUGGGUCUGAGAGAGCUUUCCCACGUGCACCUCUAUGACACUACAUGACAUAUUGCUGGACAGCAGGUCCUCUGCUCUCCCACCACAGCCUUCCUUAGCUUCUGGAGAAUGGAACCAACCUCUGCUGUGAGCAGACACUUGGGAGGCAGGGGUAAGAGGGGUAAAAAGGCAUCCAAAUAGUGAUUGAUUGUGUAAUGACUAAAACCCAUGCAUUACAAGACUUCAUCAUGUUUGACUGUAGCUGGGAGUAAAGGUGAUGUAAAAUAAUGUAUGAUAGUUUUCUUUCAGCAUCUUUGCCUAGCACCGGAUAAGUAGCUUUUUGUUUCUUAGGCUGUCAUUGUUGGAAAAAGUAUUGCCAUCAGCUGUAGGUCUUAAAAAUAUCCUUUGAUAUAUGGAAAGGAAAUGGGAUUUAUUUUGAGACAGAAUCUUGCCCCUCUCGGUGCAUUGCUUGAUGAAUGUGGUCACAUGAUGGAAGAAUGCUGCCAUGGGGGGACAGCACUUGGGAUCUGUCCCUGUGUCAGCUCAGCUCUCAGAGAAUUACAGAAAUCCUUGUGGAAGAAGCAAAUGUUCACAGUCGUAUCACAAAGAAAUAACAAGAAGACAUUUGAGAAGAAGGGCAUACUAAAGACCAUAGCAAAACUUCAUUUGGCAUCUUCAAGGGAGGAUUCAGUGAGAGCAGAGAUUCAGAGUAAGCCUUGCUGGGGGAUAGCCCUGGAGAAAAGCUGGGAAGCUCCAGAGGCCUUCCCAGCCAUCACAGGCUGUUUGCGGGGGUUCACGUUUUGUGUGAUGACCCUACAGAUGCAGAGGAGUGUAACUUGUAGAGCUCAAAUCCCAGCCAUCCUCUGAAUAGGAUGUAAUCAGGGAGAAGCAAAUAAUAACUGUACAAAAUUCUAGCUUUUACAUAGUUUUGUCUUGGGAGGAAAUAGCCUGGGCCUUGACAGCUGAAAGUGGACAGACCUGCUAUAAUCAUCUGUAACAGUUUCUGCAAUGCAAAGAUAGUAUAGCAGUCAGCACUUGUUCUUUGUGAGUAGCAGACAUCAGGAAUAUCUGAUAUUAUAUCUUUAAUAAGAAACAGCAAUUUGAACUUCUGACUGUGACUUGAGUUUGAAGUCUCUUUAAUAGUCUUAAAAUAUAUUUCAGUUUAAUAACCUCAUUCAGCAUCAAUUUUUGCUUGGAUUGGAGAGCACCUUUUAUUAUCUGCUAUUUCUUACAUUUAUAAGAAUAGUACUUAGAUAUCAAAGGAACCUUAAAAAAUAAGCUGUUUGGAUCACUUCAGUAAAUUGCUUAUUGCUACUAGUUGCCUGCCGCUUCAUAAAAUCCCUUUCUGUUUCAUGGCUCUGCCUUGCAAAGCUCUGGUGAGACUGAGAUAACUCCAUAUCUGAUAUCUCAGUAUUUAAAGUAUAAGAUUGUGACCCUCAAUUCAUUUUUUCCCUUCCUUUUCCUACAUAUUUCUAAGUCUCAGGUCUCCUUGAGAAACUUCAGAGCCAGGCCAUUGCAUUGUGCAUCUGGAGGAUUCCCACUGGUUCCCAUACUCAACCAUGUCUAUGGUUAUGGUCUCAUACACCUCUCUGACAGGAACAUCCACAUUCUAUCCACCCUUCCAUGUCAACAGAGCCUCAAGCUGUGUUUCUCCCUAACAGGAACACCAGUCCUUAAUGGGAAUCAAAAGUUAGGAUGAGCAAAAAAGCCCUGCUCAGUUACGAACAAUGUGUAGUGGGUUUUCCCUUAGUGUAGACUGGAAUAUUGAUUUCAAAACCAUACUGGGAUCAGGUCCCACUGUGUGCAAGAGAGCCAAGACUCCAGUGUUCAGUAUUGGGAGAUUUCUUUGAAUGUCUUGAAACACUGAAUGCCUCCUCAUUUCUAUUUCUGCCUUGGGCCAUGCAACAAAGUGGAUGUCCUGUACAAAUUAUUGUGAGCAUAAUAUUGCUGGGCAGCUGGGAAAUGAUGUAGAUGAUCCUCACCUCCUUCCUAAAGACAAAUGAUAUUUUUAUCCUUAUAUUUUUGCAACUACACUGCCAGAAUCUGGAAAUAUGUUACACAAGCUUUAAAAGUUAAGAUUUUCAUACAAAUCAGUAUUGUCCAAUUGCCUACCAAAAAAAGGGUUUUAUUAUUCCCUAUGGGAAAUCUCUAUAUUUGAUCAGAAAUGUCUAAUAUGAAUAAAAUGCCCUAACUUCAAAGAGUAUACUUGAUUUUCCAUUUCUUGAUCAUUCAAAUCACCUGGCAAAUGCAUCAAGAGAUGUGCACUAAACACAUAUUCUAGCCAGGUAGUUAAACCACCACUGAGACAUUUUUAGGUUGCAUGAUUUUAUUUGUAAUAUUGUAAUAUUUGUAAUAUUAAAUCUUAAAAAAAAAAUCUUUAUAUGAUGCUUUUCUUGCUUCUUUGGUUUUAAAACUUUUUGAGGCAGACAUGGUCCAUGCUAAAACCUUCUACAAUAUAUAUCCACUUUUGGGCAAGCCAUUUCAGUGCCAAGCUGGAAGUUAGGAGUGAAUAUUUAUUUUUAGAGCAGAU